rnacentral:rRNA from 1 species
GAUGAACGCUGGCGGCGUGCCUAAUACAUGCAAGUCGAGCGAACGGACGAGAAGCUUGCUUCUCUGAUGUUAGCGGCGGACGGGUGAGUAACACGUGGAUAACCUACCUAUAAGACUUGGAUAACUUCGGGAAACCGGAGCUAAUACCGGAUAAUAUUUUGAACCGCAUGGUUCAAAAGUGAAAGACGGUCUUGCUGUCACUUAUAGAUGGAUCCGCGCUGCAUUAGCUAGUUGGUAAGUUAACGGCUUACCAAGGCAACGAUGCAUAGCCGACCUGAGAGGGUGAUCGGCCACACUGGAACUGAGACACGGUCCAGACUCCUACGGGAGGCAGCAGUAGGGAAUCUUCCGCAAUGGGCGAAAGCCUGACGGAGCAACGCCGCGUGAGUGAUGAAGGUCUUCGGAUCGUAAAACUCUGUUAUUAGGGAAGAACAUAUGUGUAAGUAACUGUGCACAUCUUGACGGUACCUAAUCAGAAAGCCACGGCUAACUACGUG